rnacentral:rRNA from 1 species
UAGGGAAUCUUCGGCAAUGGACGGAAGUCUGACCGAGCAACGCCGCGUGAGUGAAGAAGGUUUUCGGAUCGUAAAGCUCUGUUGUAAGAGAAGAACGAGUGUGAGAGUGGAAAGUUCACACUGUGACGGUAUCUUACCAGAAAGGGACGGCUAACUACGUGCCAGCAGCCGCGGUAAUACCGUAGGUCCCGAGCGUUGUCCGGAUUUAUUGGGCGUAAAGCGAGCGCAGGCGGUUAGAUAAGUCUGAAGUUAAAGGCUGUGGCUUAACCAUAGUACGCUUUGGAAACUGUUUAACUUGAGUGCAAGAGGGGAGAGUGGAAUUCCAUGUGGNGCGGUGAAAUGCGUAGAUAUAUGGAGGAACACCGGUGGCGAAAGCGGCUCUCUGGCUUGUAACUGACGCUGAGGCUCGAAAGCGUGGGGAGCAAACAGGAUUAGAUACCCUGGUAGUCCACGCCGUAAACGAUGAGUGCUAGGUGUUAGACCCUUUCCGGGGUUUAGUGCCGCAGCUAACGCAUUAAGCACUCCGCCUGGGGAGUACGACCGCAAGGUUG